AGCUCGGCCAGAGUCCAGUUCAACACAACCUGAGUUAGAGUGGCGCUCCUGAUCUCAGACAGGGGCUUCUGUGGAGGGGGAAGACAAACGGGGUUAGAGAGAGAGAUAGGUUUAUCUGUGGAGGUGGAAGACAGGCGGGGUUAGAGAGAGAGACAGGUUUAUCUGUGGAGGGAGAAGACAGACGGGGUUAGAGAGAGAGACAGGUUUAUCUGUGGAGGGGCAGAGAGACAGGUUUAUCUGUGGAGGGGGAAGACAGACGGGGUUAGAGAGAGAGACAGGUUUAUCUGUGGAGGGGGAAGACAGACGGGGUUAGAGAGAGAGACAGGUUUAUCUGUGGAGGGGGAAGACAGAUGGGGUUAGAGAGAGAGACAGAUGGGGUUAGAGAGAGAGACAGGUUUAUCUGUGGAGAGGGAAGACAGACGGGGUUAGAGACAGACAGGGUUAGAGAGAGACAG
ensembl:lncRNA